AAAUACGAAGAGGACGGCAAGAAAAGGAAGCAAGUUUUAUACCAAAGAAAACACACUCUUUUUAAAAAAGCAGAAGAGUUGUAUACAACAACAAAGGCUGAUGUGCUUGUCCUUGUGCGCACCGAGUCGGGGCGCCUGUUUCAUAUUAACACACCACAUUUUGAUGAGACAUUUCAGCAAAUUCAGACAUUCCUCUCUAAGCCUGCACACACUACCCCCUCAGCUCCUCCCACUUCCACACAACCUCGCCCUACUAUUUCCCUCCAUUCUUCCUCUUACUCCAACAACCCACUUCCUUCUACCCCCUCAGCUCCUCCCACUUCCACACAAC